rnacentral:rRNA from 1 species
UGGUGGAGUGAUUUGUCUGGUUAAUUCCGAUAACGAACGAGACCUUAACCUGCUAACUAGUUUUAUCUAUUUUAUAGAAUAAGACUUCUUAGAGGGACUAUGUCACGAAAAGUGCAUGGAAGUUUGAGGCAAUAACA